AUGACGAAUCCAGGCUAGCUGAGGUGUGAAGAGGGAUCUAAACGCUGA
rnacentral:snoRNA from 2 species